rnacentral:tRNA from 1 species
GAAGGUGUAACUCAGUGGUAGAGUGCACGCCUAGCAUGUAACGAGGUCCUGGGUUCAAUCCCCGGUAUCUCCA